CGAAUAAUGAUGCUGAGUAUGACAGUGAUGCACGUUGUAUUUUAACUCCUCAAAUUACAGAGCGUAUCACAGAUGGUAUAAUCGGCUUCAUCAGCAAACCAGACAUUCAAAGCCCCGAGCGUCCCUUAGACAUCAACCAUGAUAUGUUUCCCACAGGACUUGACGGAACCUCGUCCGCAAUCUGGGAUGAAGCAUCUAACCCUGAAAAAGAGGUACCCGCCGGCAAUUUAGAGUCUUUACCAGAAAAUAACGGAGGAAUUUUCAACUUCGACACAUCCGAGGACGGUUUCAAGCCACAUGUCGAAGCUGAGUCCCAG
rnacentral:sRNA from 1 species